GGGUUGUGAGGUUAAGCGACUAAGCGUACACGGUGGAUGCCCUGGCAGUCAGAGGCGAUGAAGGGCGUGCUAAUCUGCGAUAAGCGCCGGUAAGGUGAUAUGAACCGUUAUAACCGGCGAUACCCGAAUGGGGAAACCCAGUGUGAUUCGUCACACUAUCAUUAACUGAAUCCAUAGGUUAAUGAGGCGAACCGGGGGAACUGAAACAUCUAAGUACCCCGAGGAAAAGAAAUCAACCGAGAUUCCCCCAGUAGCGGCGAGCGAACGGGGAGGAGCCCAGAGCCUGAAUCAGCAUGUGUGUUAGUGGAAGCGUCUGGAAAGGCGCGCGAUACAGGGUGACAGCCCCGUACACAAAAGCGCAUGUGCUGUGAGCUCGAUGAGUAGGGCGGGACACGUGGUAUCCUGUCUGAAUAUGGGGGGACCAUCCUCCAAGGCUAAAUACUCCUGACUGACCGAUAGUGAACCAGUACCGUGAGGGAAAGGCGAAAAGAACCCCGGCGAGGGGAGUGAAAAAGAACCUGAAACCGUGUACGUACAAGCAGUGGGAGCACCCUUCGGGGUGUGACUGCGUACCUUUUGUAUAAUGGGUCAGCGACUUAUAUUCUGUAGCAAGGUUAACCGUAUAGGGGAGCCGGAGGGAAACCGAGUCUUAAUUGGGCGUUAAGUUGCAGGGUAUAGACCCGAAACCCGGUGAUCUAGCCAUGGGCAGGUUGAAGGUUGGGUAACACUAACUGGAGGACCGAACCGACUAAUGUUGAAAAAUUAGCGGAUGACCUGUGGCUGGGGGUGAAAGGCCAAUCAAACCGGGAGAUAGCUGGUUCUCCCCGAAAGCUAUUUAGGUAGCGCCUCGUGAAUUCAUCUCCGGGGGUAGAGCACUGUUUCGGCUAGGGGGCCAUCCCGGCUUACCAACCCGAUGCAAACUGCGAAUACCGGAGAAUGUUAUCACGGGAGACACACGGCGGGUGCUAACGUCCGUCGUGAAGAGGGAAACAACCCAGACCGCCAGCUAAGGUCCCAAAGUCAUGGUUAAGUGGGAAACGAUGUGGGAAGGCCCAGACAGCCAGGAUGUUGGCUUAGAAGCAGCCAUCAUUUAAAGAAAGCGUAAUAGCUCACUGGUCGAGUCGGCCUGCGCGGAAGAUGUAACGGGGCUAAACCAUGCACCGAAGCUGCGGCAGCGAACGUAUCACCCAAGACAACUUUACGGAGUUGACGAUUGACGGAGCGAAGCGACGUCAAAGCGUUCAUUAAAGUCGAGUUGGCUUAGGGAUACGUUCGUUGGGUAGGGGAGCGUUCUGUAAGCCUGUGAAGGUGUGUCGUGAGGCAUGCUGGAGGUAUCAGAAGUGCGAAUGCUGACAUAAGUAACGAUAAAGCGGGUGAAAAGCCCGCUCGCCGGAAGACCAAGGGUUCCUGUCCAACGUUAAUCGGGGCAGGGUGAGUCGACCCCUAAGGCGAGGCCGAAAGGCGUAGUCGAUGGGAAACGGGUUAAUAUUCCCGUACUUGGUGUUACUGCGAAGGGGGGACGGAGAAGGCUAUGUUGGCCGGGCGACGGUUGUCCCGGUUUAAGCGUGUAGGUGUGUGUUCCAGGUAAAUCCGGUUCACUUUAACACUGAGGCGUGACGACGAGGCACUACGGUGCUGAAGCAACAAAUGCCCUGCUUCCAGGAAAAGCCUCUAAGCAUCAGGUAACACGAAAUCGUACCCCAAACCGACACAGGUGGUCAGGUAGAGAAUACCAAGGCGCUUGAGAGAACUCGGGUGAAGGAACUAGGCAAAAUGGUGCCGUAACUUCGGGAGAAGGCACGCUGACACGUAGGUGAAGUGAUUUACUCACGGAGCUGAAGUCAGUCGAAGAUACCAGCUGGCUGCAACUGUUUAUUAAAAACACAGCACUGUGCAAACACGAAAGUGGACGUAUACGGUGUGACGCCUGCCCGGUGCCGGAAGGUUAAUUGAUGGGGUCAGCGUAAGCGAAGCUCCUGAUCGAAGCCCCGGUAAACGGCGGCCGUAACUAUAACGGUCCUAAGGUAGCGAAAUUCCUUGUCGGGUAAGUUCCGACCUGCACGAAUGGCGUAAUGAUGGCCAGGCUGUCUCCACCCGAGACUCAGUGAAAUUGAACUCGCUGUGAAGAUGCAGUGUACCCGCGGCAAGACGGAAAGACCCCGUGAACCUUUACUAUAGCUUGACACUGAACAUUGAGCCUUGAUGUGUAGGAUAGGUGGGAGGCUUUGAAGUGUGGACGCCAGUCUGCAUGGAGCCGACCUUGAAAUACCACCCUUUAAUGUUUGAUGUUCUAACGUGGACCCGUAAUCCGGGUUGCGGACAGUGUCUGGUGGGUAGUUUGACUGGGGCGGUCUCCUCCUAAAGAGUAACGGAGGAGCACGAAGGUUGGCUAAUCCUGGUCGGACAUCAGGAGGUUAGUGCAAUGGCAUAAGCCAGCUUGACUGCGAGCGUGACGGCGCGAGCAGGUGCGAAAGCAGGUCAUAGUGAUCCGGUGGUUCUGAAUGGAAGGGCCAUCGCUCAACGGAUAAAAGGUACUCCGGGGAUAACAGGCUGAUACCGCCCAAGAGUUCAUAUCGACGGCGGUGUUUGGCACCUCGAUGUCGGCUCAUCACAUCCUGGGGCUGAAGUAGGUCCCAAGGGUAUGGCUGUUCGCCAUUUAAAGUGGUACGCGAGCUGGGUUUAGAACGUCGUGAGACAGUUCGGUCCCUAUCUGCCGUGGGCGCUGGAGAACUGAGGGGGGCUGCUCCUAGUACGAGAGGACCGGAGUGGACGCAUCACUGGUGUUCGGGUUGUCAUGCCAAUGGCACUGCCCGGUAGCUAAAUGCGGAAGAGAUAAGUGCUGAAAGCAUCUAAGCACGAAACUUGCCCCGAGAUGAGUUCUCCCUGAGACUUAGAGUCUCCUGAAGGAACGUUGAAGACGACGACGUUGAUAGGCCGGGUGUGUAAGCGCAGCGAUGCGUUGAGCUAACCGGUACUAAUGAACCGUGAGGCUUAACCUUACAACGCCGAAG
rnacentral:rRNA from 2 species